CACGCGCCUCCGGGGGGCGGAGCUCCGCGCGCGGCGGGCUGAGCGGCGGGCCGCGGCUCUCCGUGGGGCUGGUAAAGGCCGCUGGAGCACAGGCACACCAUCGGAUACCGUCUAACCAGAGGCCGGUGACCUUGUCCACCCAGGCUUUUGCUCUGCAGACCCUUUCCAAAGAAGGAGCUGAAAAUUAGUUCGAGCGUACUCGGAGCCCAGUAUCGGCUAUGAUAUUUCUGCUGUGACUGUGAACUGCUCUUACGAAGUAAAGCCCUGACUGAAGAGACGAGACAACACGGAGAAAAGAGAGAUCUAGGCAGAGACUUCGUAGUGAAGAGCCCAUUUUUAUAUCUCUGAACAGGAAUAACGUUACACAAUAAUACUACCAGUAAGUGUUGAUAGUUGAAAGUUCUGCUAUUUGUGUCCUCUGUUAGGUUGACCUACCUGGCUAAUAUGGUGUGACUUCUCUUAUCCCAGCUGCUAUGAUAGUGGGCUUCUGUAGCAGUACAACUGUUGAUCAGUAAGAGAUCUGCGAACGUCGGAGUUGGAGAGAUGGGGAGAAAGAGUUUCAAUAUGAUCGUUAAAAGGCACAGAAUACUUUCAUCCUUUUGGUGUUGCCAGCUGUCACCGGGGAUGUCCUUGAAAGGUCUUCUGGAGUUCCUUAGCAUUGUGAUCUAGACUUUUUCCAUGUGGAUCCUUCAUUGCCUAUAUUUUGUGCCCCUGGACCUGGUCCUGCAUCAAAGCCUCAUCUCGUGUGUAUUGUUACACUCAGAAGAAGAACGGGGUGGAAGAAGAAGACCCUGCUGUGGACGUGGAAGUGCCUGAGCUGGAGAUAUGCAGAGAACAUCUGAAUUCCAUCCUUGCCCACUGGAACCCUGUUUUCCCAUCAGCACCCUCCACACAGGGAGGGGAGACCCUCAGAGCUGGUGAGCGGGGCGGGGGGUGAGGCAGUGCUGUCACCCGUGCAUCCGUUCACGUUGUCACUGAGUGGCUGGUGAGGUCUCUGGCUGGGCAGAGCCCCCUCGGGGAGCAGGACAUGUCACCAGUGCCGAGGUGGCUACGGAACUGCGUCCCGCCACAGCCGGCGGCCAUGCAGGAGAUGCUCAGGGAUGAGACGCUGAGGAACAGCCUCUUCAAACCUUGCACCCAGCUCUGCCGGGCCAGCAGCACCUCAGCUGGGCUCUCCAGGCAGCUCAGUGGGCUCAGUUCCAUCGUGCUGCAGCUGAUGGAGGAGCAGGGCCUGUCCAGCACCUUCCACGAGCUUGUGAAAUCUCUGCGCCUACCACCAACGGUGGAAGAGGAUGCGGACAGGACAGCUGUUUCUGUAUUCCUGACUUCCAUUUACAUUGGAAACAUGUGGCUUGGAGCACAGGAGCCGGAUACGUUACUUACCAAUGUCAGAUUGAUCCUCACUAGUGCAGAUUAUGAGUUACAGGAUGACUGAGACACUCGGAAACAAGGGGAAGAAACUCAUGUCUCUUUGCAAAAAAAAUUGGCUCCAUCAGGGCAUUAAUUCAGGGGAUUAAGGCUUCACCUUUAACAUUCUGCUCUGCUCUGUCCUCAUCGCCAUGAACCGUGAGAGCCUCCUGAGCUGUUCUCAUAUAGACCUACAUUGUUUGGUCAAAAAAAAUCAGUAUUUUAUUACUGGGUGCAAACUCAGGGGAAAGAUUUGAUUCAACAUCUCUCAGUGGUACAUUAAAGCUCCAGUUUCCCGUUUCUUGAACAGUUUGGGGGGCAAUAUGUAAUGUAGGUACAAUUAUGUUAUUUUUAAUACAGGCAUUUUUAUAUUUUUCAAGAACCUGAAGGACUGUUUGUGUAUGUGUGUGCCCUUCAUAUCCAUCCUUUCUCUAAUACAGGAUGGGGAAAAAAGGCUGCAGAGCUUCCUACGCUGGGGUGUAAUUGCAAAGAACCAGGAGACAGAGGUUUAGUCACCAUGAUGUACUGUUUCUUGGAGAGCCUGGUUGGUUUCCUGGUACCAAAACCAGUAUGAAUAGAAGACUGGACUUGGGAAUAAGGAUGGUCCUCUUGGGUUUAAAAAGCUUGAAUGGCACUUAAAGACAUUUAUGUUAGA